rnacentral:rRNA from 1 species
GACGAACGCUGGCGGCGUGCCUAACACAUGCAAGUCGAACGGAGAUUUCAGCAAUGAAAUCUUAGUGGCGAACGGGUGAGUAACGCGUAGACAACCUACCUUCUAGAUGGGGACAACACCGCGAAAGUGGUGCUAAUACCGAAUGUUGUAUUUUUGUUGCAUGAUGAAGAUACUAAAGAUGGCCUCUAUUUAUAAGCUAUCGCUAGAAGAUGGGUCUGCGUCUGAUUAGCUAGUUGGUGAGGUAAUGGCUCACCAAGGCGACGAUCAGUAGCCGGUCUGAGAGGAUGAACGGCCACACUGGGACUGAGACACGGCCCAGACUCCUACGGGAGGCAGCAGUGGGGAAUCUUCCGCAAUGGACGAAAGUCUGACGGAGCAACGCCGCGUGAGUGAAGAAGGUUUUCGGAUCGUAAAACUCUGUUUUCAGGGACGAAUGUGCAGCUUGUAAAUAAUGAGUUGUAAUGACGGUACCUGAGUAGAAAGCCACGGCUAACUACGUGCCAGCCGCCGCAGUAACAC